UCCUUUUCUAAUUUUAAAUCCAAAUUCCGAAGGAUUUGGUUCCAAACAGAGCGUAAGGAAUCGAAUGAGUUCACUAGUGCUAGCUAUUUUGAGUCUCUGCGCUAUUCAUGGUUUGCAAAAGCUAACUGUGUUCAUCACUUUUCGACAAGACUCUGAACAACUUAUUUUUAAUCUCACGGACGCAAAAUGGCGUUUCUGUAGCGAGAAGAGCUACAAUGCCACAGACCGUUGGUUCGGUCUCCGAUCAACCCUCAGACUCCUAUAAUCCCACACCAAUGAACAUUGACGGCGAACAACGCGAAGAAGAAGGGGUUUGCACUGAAGCAAUUGCACAAAGAGACGCUUCGCCUGUGUCGAAGAAUGCGGAGGAGUCCGAAGGUCAAACGAAAACUGGCAAAAAGAGAGACUUGAGCGAGUAUAAUCUGAAUGGACUGAAAUGUCCAAUCUGUAUGGACCUAUGGACAUCUCAAGGCGAUCAUCAAGUUUGUUGUCUUCCCUGUGGACAUAUAUUUGGUAUGUCAUGCAUCAAUAGAUGGAUUCUGCACCGAGGUGGACAUUCUGCCAAGUGCCCUCAAUGCAAUGCAAAGAUUAAUAUGAAGGAUGUUACGAGGCUGUAUGCAUCACCAGUAAUUAUGGUUGAUGAAGACUUACACAAGAAAAUUGAAUCUCUUGAGGCUGAAAAUACGUAUCUCAAAACUGAGAAAGCUAAUUUAAUUGGUUUACAAGAUAGUUUGCUGAAAGAACUGUGCCAUCUCAAGGAGAAGUCAGCUUUAGGGGCUUCAGUAGUCAUGGGGAGAAAUGGAUUUAAUACCUCAGAAGUGUUGCAGAAAGGACAAUCUGGACUUAAUUUUGGCACGAAUAUCAGCAGAUGGGGAUCUUUUCACUGCAAAUUUGUAUUGGAGCUUGAGAUGGCAGUAGACAAUGCACGCCUUUUUGAUAUGGAUGCCCAUAAUCGAACUCUAAUUGUUGCUCGAAGGAUUUCUGGGAUGGGUGGGACACAUAUGCUCAACAAGAUCAACUUGAUCAAUCCUAAUGAAAAUGAAGACAUAGAGCUUCCUUCAAGUAUGAAAGCUGUUAAAGAUCUACGUGUUUCCCCUUGUAGUAGACUUGCACUCUUAGCUUCACUUGGGAAAAAAUUAUCGGUUCUGAGCAUGGGUGGCAACAAUGUUAUUAUCAGUUAUGAUUUACCGGCACCAGCAUGGUCUUGCUCAUGGGAUCUCAACAGUCCUCAUUAUAUGUAUGCUGGAUUACAGAAUGGUAAACUUUUGGUGUUUGAUAUGCGUCAGACUAUACUUCCUGUUAAAUCCAUUGAUGGACUGACCUCACAUCCAAUUCAUACCAUACACUCUUUUGAGCAUGACCCUGCUCUUCCUCACAUUUCUACGAGGCUCCUUACAGCAUCUUCCAUUGGCCCAUGUGUGUGGAACAAUAUUAGUGCCAGAGAAAGGCCAUUUCUGGUCCCCGAAUUAGAGAAUCAAGGCAGGUGUAUAUCACUUGCUUACAGCCCCUCAAGUGAUGACAUUCUUGCUACAUACCGUCCUGGAUUACCUAUAUCCAAUGAAACUGGCAGUUUACAACCACAUUCACUUGCUGCACAUGAACAAGGAACACUGUGUUCUCAGAUUCUUGUCAAGAGAGUGGCUGGUAGCUUUUAUCAUAAAUUAGCGUCUACAUCUGCACAUGUGGGUGAUGCUUUAUUGACAAAGUCUGCCAUUAUAAAUGUUGAGAAUUGCUUCCCACUGUUUGCUUGUGGAGAUGAUGUAACAUGUGGAUUAAGAUUGCGGGAAUUGCCAAGUUUAACUGUAAGCCAGGCUCUUAAACCACAUCAGUAUCCCAUUCUUGAUGUGAAAUAUGCACAGUUGCAUAGCUCCGGUAUACUAGGUUGCAUAAGUGAAGACAAAUUGCAACUUUUUUCUGCAAAGAUUUCGUGAGAAAGGGCGGUCGCAGCUUUUUGAAGUGCUGUUCAGCUAUAUACCGUACAUGUUUUUGACCUGGCACUAAUUUUUGCUUGGGUAUGAGAAUUCAGGACAAGGAAGAAGUUUUGCUUAAUUGUUACCGGUCUUGUGCUAGAAGAGUGGCCGACUCCUACCACUUUGGAUGAGACAUCUUCACAAUGUUUAAAUUGUUCUAACUAGUAAGAAUUUUCUAAAACCUUCACCAUCCCUGUUCCACCCUUAAUAUAUAUACGAAACAAGUGCAGAAAACACCCUUAAAUUAUACUUUGCAUAACACUUUUAUCCUUUAUUUAAAAAAGUGUACAAAAAACACUCAUAAUCUUUUCAUAUUGUGCAAAAAAAAGGGGGUAUAUAUGCUACUAAUAUCAUAGUAUAGGGGUGUUAUGUACACAUUACCUUAUAUAUAUAUAUUUUUUGAAACUUUUUUCUCUAUAUAUAUUUCUAAACUAUAUUUUUUUAAAAAAACUUUGAGAAUUUGUAGAACAAAGAUUUGAAUUUUUUGAGAUUUCAGUUUUCUCUUUUUCUAUUAAAAUUUGUUUUUCUUUAUUUUAUUUUAUUUUGUACCAAACAUUGUUAAAAAAAAAAAAAAUUCCCAAUAUUAGUGUGUACUGGUUUUUGGUUCAGCUUUAUUUUCUUUAGUUUGCACUUAAUUUUAAUUUUUUUUCUUACCGAUACUGUUAAAAAAAAAAAAAAAUUCAAUAUCAGUGUGUACUGGUUUUCGAACCAGAUUUGUUUUCUUUAGUUUGCACUUUAUUUUUGUUUUUUAUUUUUUAUUUUUAUCUUUAUAUUUCUUCUAUACUUUUAAUUUUAUUUAUUUUCUUUACUUGUCCAUUGUCGGCCUCCUCCAAUUGUAUUAUUUUCGGUCAUUUUAUAAAAUUAUUUAAUUUUAAGUAUUUUAUACAAUGGUGUUCAGUAAGGGUAAUUUAGUCAACAUAGAGUUUAAAUUUGUUUGAGGGAUCUAUUUGCAUCAAAUUGAAAGUUUAGGGUUGUUUUUGCACGCGUGGAAUAUCCUUCAAUAGUGUCAUUUUCGGUUAUUUUACAAAAUUAUUUAUUUUUAUAAAAUGGUUCAGUGAGUGUAAUUUAGUCAACUCAGUGUUUAAAUUUGUUAGAGGAACUUAUUUGCACCAUAUUGAAAUUUUAGAGGUUUUUUUGGCACAUGAGGGGUGUGAUAUGCACUGUAAGCAUAUUUUAAGAGUGUUUUUUUGUACUUGAUCCAUAUAUAUAUAUAUUAUAUUGAGCCAAGAUUGAAGAACAAUGUUGUAGUCCAAUGGUAUGAUCAAUCCUACCCAAAGGGGAGAUUAAGAUUUCAAGUAUCAUGAGAGGGACGUAUUGUGGAUAAUGGGUGUGCGCUGUCAUCUCUGAUCCAAAUGUGAGGUCUUAUUUUUAUUUAAGCUACAUUAAUAGAAUUUUUCGUUGUCAUUGGGAACUCCGCUUUGAGCAUUUGUACCUCUUAACUUUUAUUCUACCAUUUUAAUUGUGGACUGCAA